rnacentral:rRNA from 1 species
CAGUCGCCACGGUAAUACGAAGGGGGCUAGCGUUGCUCGGAAUGACUGGGCGUAAAGGGCGCGUAGGCGGUUCGUACAGUUGGAUGUGAAAUUCCUGGGCUUAACCUGGGGGCUGCAUUCAAUACGUGCGGGCUUGAGUGUGGAAGAGGGUUGUGGAAUUCCCAGUGUAGAGGUGAAAUUCGUAGAUAUUGGGAAGAACACCGGUGGCGAAGGCGACAACCUGGUCCAUAACUGACGCUGAGGCGCGAAGGCGUGGGGAGCAAACAGGAUUAGAUACCCCUGUAGUCCCUGUCUCUUAUAC